rnacentral:rRNA from 1 species
GUGGGGAAUAUUCCGCAAUGGACGAAAGUCUGACGGAGCAACGCCGCGUGAGUGAUGAAGGUUUUCGGGCUGUAAAGCUCUGUUGUUUAGGACGAAAGUGCCUGUUGCAAAUAGUUACAGGUAUUGACGGUACUGAACGAGGAAGCCACGGCUAACUACGUGCCAGCAGCCGCGGUAAUACGUAGGUGGCAAGCGUUGUCCGGAAUUAUUGGGGGUAAAGAGCAUGUAGGCGGGAAUCUAAGUCUGUUGUGAAAAUGCGGGGCUCAACCCCGUAUUGCGAUGGAAACUGGGUUUCUUGAGUGCAGGAGAGGAAAGGGGAAUUCCCAGUGUAGCGGUGAAAUGCGUAGAUAUUGGGAGGAACACCAGUGGCGAAGGCGCCUUUCUGGACUGUGUCUGACGCUGAGAUGCGAAAGCCAGGGUAGCGAACGGGAUUAGAAACCCUGGUAGUCC